ACCUAAACCCGAUGGCACGGAUGCCGGUAUAGGUUAUUAUUAUUUUCAAGGUAAUUACCGGCAGGAGGAACAGCGGGACCGGAG
rnacentral:misc_RNA from 1 species